UAAUACGUAGGGGGCAAGCGUUGUCCGGAUUUAUUGGGCGUAAAGAGCGUGUAGGCGGCCAGAUAGGUCUGUUGUGAAAACUGGAGGCUUAACCUUCAGACGUCGAUGGAAACCAUCUGGCUAGAGUCCGGAAGAGGAGAAUGGAAUUCCUGGUGUAGCGGUGAAAUGCGCAGAUAUCAGGAAGAACACCCGUGGCGAAGGCGGUUCUCUGGGACGGUACUGACGCUGAGACGCGAAAGCGUGGGGAGCAAACAGGAUUAGAUACCCUGGUAGUCCACGCCGUAAACGAUGGGUGCUAGGUGUGGGGGGUGUCGACUCCCCCCGUGCCGAAGCUAACGCAUUAAGCACCCCGCCUGGGGAGUACGGCCGCAAGGCUA
rnacentral:rRNA from 1 species